UACGUAGGGUGCAAGCGUUGUCCGGAAUUAUUGGGCGUAAAGAGCUCGUAGGCGGUUUGUCGCGUCUGCUGUGAAAAUCCAAGGCUCAACCUUGGACCUGCAGUGGGUACGGGCAGACUAGAGUGCGGUAGGGGAGACUGGAAUUCCUGGUGUAGCGGUGGAAUGCGCAGAUAUCAGGAGGAACACCAAUGGCGAAGGCAGGUCUCUGGGC
rnacentral:rRNA from 1 species